rnacentral:rRNA from 1 species
GGCCCGCACAAGCAGCGGAGCGUGUGGUUUAAUUCGAUGUUACACGAAGAACCUUACCAGGGUUUGACAUGCAAGUGGUAGGAAGCCGAAAGGUGACCGACCCUUCGGGGAGCUUGCACAGGUGCUGCAUGGCUGUCGUCAGCUCGUGUCGUGAGAUGUUCGGUUAAGUCCGCUAACGAGCGCAACCCUCGCUGUGUGUUAUAUGUGUCACACGGGACUGCCGGUCUUAAGCCGGAGGAAGGUGGGGAUGAUGUCAAGUCAGCAUGGCCUUUAUAUCCUGGGCUACACACACGCUACAAUGGUCGAGACAACGCGUUGCAAACCAGUAAUGGUAAGCUAAUCGCAUAAAAUCGACCUCAGUACGGAUUGAGGGUUGCAAUUCACCCUCAUGAAGCUGGAGUUGCUAGUAACCGCAGGUCAGCUAUACUGCGAUGAAUACGUUCCCGGGGCUU